GAAUUACUGAUGCUGAAGAUCUCUAACCCCUGAUCACAGCAGUGUCCAGUUUGUUGCAUCCAACACAUCAAACCAGAUACACGUCUGGGAAUGCCUAUAUUUGUCACAAGCGGAGCCUGGUCUAACCAAGUGAACCAAUAGAGGCAGGAAUGUAAUAACACAACCUGCAGGAAGCAUGACAGCAAGGAGGACUCCUGGAAGACCAC
rnacentral:lncRNA from 1 species